rnacentral:rRNA from 1 species
GAAGUUGAAAAGAACUUUGAAGAGAGAGUUCAAGAGUACGUGAAACCGUUCAGGGGUAAACCUGCGAAACUCGAAUGAACGAACGGAGAGAUUCAUCGUCAUUCGACGGCGUACGGGCGCGCGCCUCGAUGUCGCACACCUCCCCUCGCGGGUGCGGUCAAGUGCGGCACGGGUCGCGUCCGUCGACGUCCGUCGACGGCGUGCACUUCUCUCUCAGUAAUACAUCGCGACCCGUUCGAUGUCGGUCUAAGCGCCGUCCGGGAGUCCGCGUAGUCGUGUUCGCGCACGCGCUACUCGGACCGUGACGGUGGCCGACCGGCCGUCGGACGGUAGUACAAAAUCGUACUGAUAAUACGAAUCGCGCACGCGCCUAGCGCGCGUCCGGCCCGACGCAAGCGAACGCCGUACCUAAAGUUUCGAUGUCCUGCCCGAGCGCGGACGUCGACGCGGCGCUGCUGUCGUCGCAGCCGUGCUGUCUCGGACCGUGCGCGUAUCCGUCUGCGAUGAUUCAUUUUCGGGCACUCGCAGGACCCGUCUUGAAACACGGCA